AGAGGCCGCCGGAUGGCGUAGGAUCGGCCGCUGGUGGUGGUGAUACCGGGUACCCGGGCUAUGGCGCCGGCGCAGCGCUGCCCUCUGUGCCGCCAGACCUUCUUCUGUGGUCGCGGGCACGUUUACAGCCGCAAGCACCAGCGGCAGCUGAAGGAGGCUUUGGAGAGGCUCCUGCCCCAGGUGGAGGCGGCCCGCAAGGCCAUCCGCGCCGCUCAGGUGGAGCGCUAUGUGCCCGAACACGAGCGAUGCUGCUGGUGCCUGUGCUGCGGCUGUGAGGUGCGGGAACACCUGAGCCAUGGAAACCUGACGGUGCUGUACGGGGGGCUGCUGGAGCAUCUGGCCAGCCCAGAGCACAAGAAAGCAACCAACAAAUUCUGGUGGGAGAACAAAGCUGAGGUCCAGAUGAAAGAGAAGUUUCUGGUCACUCCCCAGGAUUAUGCGCGGCUAUGUGGUUCAUCUGCAAGUUUUUUCAAAUUGUUGCAAAUCUCCAAAAAAAUUUUCAAGUGAACUCGUGCAGUUCAAACUUGUGCUGUGCAAGAGUCAACUGUAUUUGCUUAUUUUCUCAAAAAGGAAUGCCUAAAGGAUAAUCAAGAAACUAAUGAAACUGCCAGAUGUGGUGGUGCACACCUGUAGUCCUAGCUACUCAGGAGGCUGAGAUUCAAGAAAUCCAUGGUGAAAGGUUUGGAUUCCUAUGAAGAAAAGGAGGAUAAAGUGAUCAAGGAGAUGGCAGCUCAGAUCCGUGAGGUGGAGCAGAGCCGACAGGAGGUGGUUCGGUCUGUCUUAGAGGUUGGUUUCCCUCGGAGGAUCCAGACCACCUCAGGCAGUGCCAGACCCAGAAGAGGGCUCUUCAGCACCUAGAAGCUGGAAAGGGAUGAACAGCCAAGUAGCUUCCAGCUUACAGCAGCCCUCAAAUUUGGACCUGCCACCAGCUCCAGAGCUUGACUGGAUGGAGACAGGACCAUCUCUGACAUUCAUUGGCCAUCAGGUGCCACACCUCCCUGGAUGAUCCAAGAUGAAGAAUACAUUGCUGGGAACCAAGAAAUAGGACCAUCCUAUGAAGAAUUUCUUAAAGAAAAGGAAAAACAGAAGUUGAAAAAACUCCCCCCAGACCGAGUUGGGGCCAACUUUGAUCACAGCUCCAGGACCAGUGCAGGCUGGCUGCCCUCUUUUGGCCGCGUCUGGAAUAAUGGACGCCGCUGGCAGUCCAGACAUCAAUUCAAAACUGAAGCUGCAGCAAUGAAGAAGCAGUCACAUACAGAAAAAAGCUAAUCAUGCUCUCUACCAACUACCAUGAGGCUAAAAGCAAAGUCAACAAACCCCUAUUAUACCUUCCACCAAAUUCUUUAUCAUUGUCUUUCUUAGGAAACAGACAUACUCAUUCAUUUGAUUUAAUAAAGUUUUAUUUUUCCAAAUGUACAGCUGGUUGGACCUGUAAAAAAAAAUUAAAAGAAUCAGAACCAUAAA